rnacentral:rRNA from 1 species
GUGGGGAAUAUUGGGCAAUGGGGGCAACCCUGACCCAGCAACGCCGCGUGAGGGAAGAAGGUUUUCGGAUUGUAAACCUCUGUCCUAUGGGAAGAAGGAAGUGACGGUACCAUAGGAGGAAGCCCCGGCUAACUACGUGCCAGCAGCCGCGGUAAUACGUAGGGGGCGAGCGUUGUCCGGAAUUACUGGGCGUAAGGGGUGCGCAGGUGGCCUGACAAGUCAGAUGUGAAAUACCGAUGCUUAACGUCGGGGCUGCAUUUGAAACUAUGAGGCUGGAGUGCAGGAGAGGGAAGCGGAAUUCCUAGUGUAGCGGUGAAAUGCAUAGAUAUUAGGAGGAACACCAGUGGCGAAGGCGGCUUUCUGGACUGUAACUGACACUGAGGCACGAAAGCGUGGGGAGCAAACAGGAUUAGAAACCCUGGUAGUCC